CAAAUUUAAUUUCAUACCUAUGGGAGCUCAUAGAAAUAUCAGACUCAAAGAAAUGACCAAAACAGGCAGCUUUUAUAACUUGUAGGCAAACAAUAAAUUUGUGAAAAAUUGACAAGAGAAAGAAGUUUGGGAUUGGAGUAGUAAAUUGGUGAGGAAAUAACAAGGUUUGCUUAUUCAAACUUCUCAGCUCUAAAUUCUCUGUCCCUUGUAAGGAUAAGGAUAUCUUUCUACCUCCUGGUACAGGGAGGGUACCUUUCACAUGGCAGAUUUAUAUCCUGCUUUCAGGGGGAAAAGGAGGGUCAAAGAGUCUUUCUUGCAUUGAUUAUUGCUUAAGAAAGUCUAAUUAAAAAUAAUCCAUAUGCAAAGUGGUAUAUUUUGGGGUGGCAUAUUCUGCCCGCCCCCCUCACUAACCAGUUAGUUUAAAUGGUGACACAUUGUCUCUGUCCCUCUUCUGAAUGGCUGGAAAUGGGGCAUCUGUUCCUUUAAGAAACACUUCUUCUUAGAGUGAGUCAUCUCUGUCCUCUUGCUUUAGGAAUCAAGUUUAUUUUCUAAUUCUUUCUGUUGAGGAAUUUUCUUUUUGGCUUGCCGAAUACCAGAUGCUGCUCUUGUCCCUUGUGAUUUUUUUCAAGCCUUGCUGAAUUUGCUAAUAAGUUCUGAAUGCCGAGAACGGGAAGUGAAUCCCCUGGGGAGGCAGAAAGUGGAGUUAUCGAAAGUAAAAGAAAACUUCUUCCUGGAGGUGUUUCCAUCCCCACCCCCCCUCAUCCCCACCCUGUUUCAUGGGAAUUUUCUCUGGUUGUGUGGAAAAGCCUUAGGAAUUUGUAUGAAAUUAGGCAGUUCAGGGGUCUUGGCAUCGGCACUUGGUGACUGUGAUGUCGCUGGGACAGGGUGGAGCAGACUUUAUGGGCAGAAUCAAAUGGUAGUGAAAGGCAUCGAUAUUACCACGGCAACUGUACCUAGCCCUCUACAGGUGAGAAGGAACUUUCAGAUACUUUGUGUAAUCCGCUCAGCCCUAAGGUGA
rnacentral:lncRNA from 1 species